rnacentral:rRNA from 1 species
GGAGCUUGCUCUAUGUACCUUAGCAGCGAACGGGUGAGUAACACGUAGAUAAUCUGUCCUAUAUUGGGGGAUAGCCCGAUGAAAGUUGGAUUAAUACCGCAUACAGCUAUAUAGUUGCAUGAUUAUAUAGUGAAAGAUUUAUUGAUAUAGGAGGAGUCUGCGGCACAUUAGCUAGUAGGUGAGGUAAGAGCUUACCUAGGCGACGAUGUGUAGCCGGUCUGAGAGGAUGAACGGCCACAAUGGAACUGAGACACGGUCCAUACUCCUACGGGAGGCAGCAGUGGGGAAUAUUGCACAAUGGGGGAAACCCUGAUGCAGCAACGCCGCGUGAGUGAAGAAGGUUUUCGGAUUGUAAAGCUCUGUUAGCAGGGAAGAGGAAGGACGGUACCUGCAGAGGAAGCCACGGCUAACUACGUGCCAGCAGCCGCGGUAAUACGUAGGUGGCAAGCGUUGUUCGGAAUAACUGGGCGUAAAGGAUGCGUAGGCGGUUAAAUAAGUUAUAUGUUAAAUAUAUAGGCUUAACCUGUAGAAAGCAUAUAAAACUGUUUAACUAGAGUGCAGGAGAGGUAAGUGGAAUUCCUAGUGUAGCGGUGAAAUGCGUAGAGAUUAGGAAGAACACCAGUGGCGAAGGCGACUUACUGGACUGUA